UACGAAGGGGGCUAGCGUUGUUCGGAAUCACUGGGCGUAAAGCGCACGUAGGCGGAUUGUUAAGUCGGGGGUGAAAUCCUGAGGCUCAACCUCAGAACUGCCUUCGAUACUGGCAAUCUCGAGUCCGGAAGAGGUUGGUGGAACAGCUAGUGUAGAGGUGAAAUCGUAGAUAUUAGCUAGAACACCGAUUGCGAAGGCAGCUAACGAAACUAGUAACUGACACUGAGGCUCGAAAGUGCGGGGAUCAAACAGG
rnacentral:rRNA from 1 species